rnacentral:lncRNA from 8 species
AUGUUUACAUUCUGCUUUACUCAUCUCAUAUGUAUAUACUGUAUUCUAUUCUACUGUAUUCUAUUCUACUGUAUUCUAUUUUACUGUAUUCUAUUCUACUGCUUUUCUCAUCUCAUAUGUAUCUACUGUAUUCUAUUCUACUGCUUUACUCAUCUCAUAUGUAUCUACUGUAUUCUAUUCUACUGUAUUUUACUCAUCUCAUAUGUAUCUACUGUAUUCUAUUCUACUGUAUUCUAUUUUACUGUAUUCUAUUCUAAUGUAUUCUAUUUUACUGUAUUCUAUUCUACUGCUUUACUCAUCUCAUAUGUAUCUACUGUAUUCUAUUCUACUGCUUUACUCAUCUCAUAUGUAUCUACUGUAUUCUAUUCUACUGUAUUCUAUUCUAUUGUAUUCUAUUCUACUGUAUUCUAUUUUACUGUAUUCUAUUCUACUGUUUUACUCAUCUCAUAUGUAUCUACUGUAUUCUAUUCUACUGUAUUCUAUUUUACUGUAUUCUAUUCUACUGUAUUCUAUUCUACUGUAUUCUAUUCUACUGCUUUACUCAUCUCAUAUGUAUCUACUGUAUUCUAUUCUACAGUAUUCUAUUUUACUGUAUUCUAUUCUACUGUAUUCUAUACUACUGUAUUCUAUUUUACUGCUUUACUCAUCUCAUAUGUAUCUACUGUAUUCUAUUCUACUGUAUUCUAUUUUACUGUAUUCUAUUCUACUGUAUUCUAUUCUACUGCUUUACUCAUCUCAUAUGUAUCUACUGUAUUCUAUUUUACUGUAUUUUAUUUUACUGUAUUCUAUUCUACUGCUUUACUCAUCUCAUAUGUAUCUACUGUAUUCUAUUUUACUGUAUUUUAUUUUACUGUAUUCUAUUCUACUGUUUUACUCAUCUCAUAUGUAUCUACUGUAUUCUAUUUUACUGUAUUUUAUUUUACUAUAUUCUAUUCUACUGCUUUACUCAUCUCAUAUGUAUCUAUUGUAUUCUAUUCUACUGUAUUUUACUCAUCUCAUAUGUAUCUACUGUAUUCUAUUCUACUGUAUUCUAUUCUACUGUUUUACUCAUCUCAUAUGUAUCUACUGUAUUCUAUUCUACUGUAUUUUACUCAUCUCAUAUGUAUCUACUGUAUUCUAUUCUACUGUAUUCUAUUCUACUGCUUUACUCAUCUCAUACAUAUAUACUGUAUUCUAUUUUACUGUAUUCUAUUUUACUGUAUUCUAUUUUACUGUAUUUUUAGUCAAUGCCACUCCGACAUUGCUGGUCCUAAUAUGUAUAUAUAUUUUUAA